GACGAACCGUGCGAACGUUAUUCGGAAUCACUGGGCUUAAAGCGCGUGUAGGCGGGACGGCACGUCGGUAGCUGAAAUCCCCCGGCUCAACCGGGGAACGGGCGCCGAUACGACCGCUCUCGAGGGACGUAGGGGGACCUGGAACUUCCGGUGGAGCGGUGAAAUGCGUUGAGAUCGGAAGGAACGCCCGUGGCGAAAGCGAGGUCCUGGACGUUUUCUGACGCUGAGACGCGAAAGCCAGGGGAGCGAACGGG
rnacentral:rRNA from 1 species